AUUGAACGCUGGCGGCAUGCCUUACACAUGCAAGUCGAACGGCAGCAUAGGAGCUUGCUCCUGAUGGCGAGUGGCGAACGGGUGAGUAAUAUAUCGGAACGUGCCCUAGAGUGGGGGAUAACUAGUCGAAAGACUAGCUAAUACCGCAUACGAUCUACGGAUGAAAGUGGGGGAUCGCAAGACCUCAUGCUCCUGGAGCGGCCGAUAUCUGAUUAGCUAGUUGGUGGGGUAAAAGCUCACCAAGGCGACGCUCAGUAGCUGGUCUGAGAGGACGACCAGCCACACUGGGAAUGAGACAAGGCCCAGACACCUACGGGAGGCAGCAGUGAGGAAUUUUGGACAAUGGGGGCAACCCAGAUCCAGAAAUGCCGCGUGAGUGAAGAAGGCCUUCGGGUUGUAAAGCUCUGUUGUCAGGGAAGAAACGGUUCUGGAUAAUACCUGGGACUAAUGACGGUACCUGAAGAAUAAGCACCGGCUAACUACGUGCCAGCAGCCGCCGGAA
rnacentral:rRNA from 1 species